rnacentral:rRNA from 1 species
UAUANUGCAGUCGANCGGACGACGGGAGCUUGCUCCCUUAGGUCAGCGGCGGACGGGUGAGUACACGUGGGUAACCUGCCUGUAAGACUGGGAUAACUCCGGGAAACCGGGGCUAAUACCGGAUGCUUGAUUGAACCGCAUGGUUCAAUCAUAAAAGGUGGCUUUUAGCUACCACUUACAGAUGGACCCGCGGCGCNNUAGCUAGUUGGUGAGGUAACGGCUCACCAAGGCGACGAUGCGUAGCCGACCUGAGAGGGUGAUCGGCCACACUGGGACUGANACACGGCCCAGACUCCUACGGGAGGCAGCAGUAGGGAAUCUUCCGCAAUGGACGAAAGUCUGACGGANCAACGCCGCGUGAGUGAUGAAGGUUUUCGGAUCGUAAAACUCUGUUGUUAGGGAAGAACAAGUACCGUUCGAAUAGGGCGGCACCUUGACGGUACCUAACCAGAAAGCCACGGCUAACUACGUGCCAGCAGCCGCGGUNANACGUAAGUGGCAAGCGUUGUCCGGAAUUAUUGGGCGUNAAGCGCGCGCAGGCGGUUUCUUAAGUCUGAUGUGAAAGCCCCCGGCUCAACCGGGGANGGUCAUUGGAAACUGGGGAACUUGAGUGCNAAANANGANANUGGAAUUCCACGUGUAGCGGUGAAAUGNGUAAANAUGUGGAAGAANNCCAGUGGC